rnacentral:tRNA from 1 species
UCCCUAGUGGCUCAGUCAGUAAAGAAUCUGCCUGCAGUGCAAGAGACCCGGGUUCGAUCCCUAGAUUGGGAA